UACGAAGGGGGCUAGCGUUGCUCGGAAUCACUGGGCGUAAAGGGUGCGUAGGCGGGUCUUUUAAGUCAGGGGUGAAAUCCUGGAGCUCAACUCCAGAACUGCCUUUGAUACUGAAGAUCUUGAGUUCGGGAGAGGUGAGUGGAACUGCGAGUGUAGAGGUGAAAUUCGUAGAUAUUCGCAAGAACACCAGUGGCGAAGGCGGCUCACUGGCCCGAUACUGACGCUGAGACGCGAAAGCGUGGGGAGCGAACGAGG
rnacentral:rRNA from 1 species